GAUGAACGCUGGCGGCGUGCCUAAUACAUGCCAGUCGAGCGAACGCACGAGUACCUUGCUCCUCUGACGUUAGCGGCGGGCGGGUGAGUAACACGUGGAUAACCUACGUAUAAGACGGGGGUAACUUCGGAGCACCGUAGCUACUACCGGAGAAUAUCUUGAACCGCAGGGUUCAAUAGUGAAAGACGGCUUUGCUGUCGCUUAUAGAUGGAUCCGCGCGGCAUUAGCUAGUUGGUAAGGUAAAGGCCUACCAAGGCAACGAUGCGUAGACGACCUGAGAGGGCGAUCAGCCACACUGGAACUGAGACACGGCCCAGACUCCUACGGGAGGCAGCAGUGGGGAAUCUUCCGCAAUGGGCGAAAGCCUGAUGCAGCAAUGCCGCGUGUGUGAUGAAGGCCUUCGGAUUGUAAAGCUCUGUUAUUAGGGAAGAAAACAUGGGCAAUUAUACAGGCAGGGGUUGACGGUACCGGAAGAGAAAGCACCGGCUAACUACGUG
rnacentral:rRNA from 1 species